GUGCGAUCACGUUUUCCAGAUGCCAAGCUGUAAUGCAAUGGCAAAUGGAUGUUUGAGUGGGUGUUCUUUGCCGCUGAAAGGGGCCACGCCGCAUGAUUGUGCAACUAUGCAGCGGGUGUCUCCCAAUCGGAAUAACGCGUGCGGAUUCGGAUCCGGAUUGACUGACUGGCUCAAAGCGCGUGAGAUGCGUUUCCGUAUAGAAAUAACAUGUGCGAAGAUGGAAACCGAAGAUGGCUGGCUCAAACCGCGUGAGCCGGAAAAGGCAUUAACUUUGCACCAUGCCGUUUCCGUAACGGAAUAACGCUUGCGAAACCUGAUCGGGGUUGAGUGGCGCAAACCGAGUGAGCCAGAAAAGGCAUUUUAAUGGCAGCCUGGAAUAUUGGUGUCGGAAUAACACGUGCGAAGCUGGAUUGGGGAUGAGCGGAGCAAAUCGCGUGAGCCGGAAAAGGCAUUCACUUUGCACCCUGGCGUUUCCGAAGCUGAAUUGGGGAUAAGUGGCACAAACCACGUGAGCUGGAAAAGGCAUUAACUUUGCAGCUUGGUGUUUCCGUAUCAGAAUAACACGUGCGAAGCCAGAUUGGGGAUGACUGGCGAAAAGCUCGUGAGCUGGAAAAGGCAUUAAAUUUUGCAACAUGGUGGCGCUUGCUGGUAUUCUGUACCAUAGCGAUGGCUUUAACUCCGCCUUUGACCCGUCGUAUGGAGAGUAUGGAUGUCACAGAAAAGGAGCAACGUUUUCGUAUUCUGUUCCGUUAUCAUCCUAAUAUAGUCAUUGACAUUUCAUAUUGUUUUUCUCUUAAAACUUUCCCCUGGAUCACUAGGUUAUAUACAGAUGUUGUUAAAAAGAUACAAAAGCAGAAACUUAGUAUCACUCUCAUCAUCACUUUGCCUCGAUAAAAUUAUCAGAAAGAUGCCUUAAGUGACAUCUGACAUUUGCAAGGCCUUAAAUAUGCAAUUUGGUACAUUUUAGUUGCAAUUACAACCCUGUUAAUAUUGAUACUACCUUUAAUCUAUGAUCCAUGGAUCUUUUGCUCAGGACUCGAGACAUUUUGGACAUGUUUCUAAGAUUUUUUUUAUUGAAAGGUUCAAAAGCAUUGCAUGUUUGUUCUUUUUGUCUGUUAGGUCUUACGAGAAAUUGUGCUUUCUGUAAAUUUAUUAUAUUUGUUCAAAGUAACGAACCACCUAUCUCUUAAUAGUAUGGUCAGGCAAGAAUAAUGAUAGACCGUCUCUCAAUUGAAUUGAGAUGAUAAGUGUUUGGAGGAGCUGGAUGCACAGAAAUGAAGGCAGUCGUCAAAUUGGAUAAGGAUUAUGCGAACCAAAUUAUGUCCAUGCCACUGUAAAGUUCCUGAACUUUUGGUCUCAAAUCAUUGCGUGAUUAUUAUUUCCGGUAUUUCUUAUGGGUAUCUCCGGGGGCCCUCCAUUAUUCAACACGAAUCAUACCAUGCAGCUGAAAUAAAUACUAUGUAUUUUAUUUACUAUAAGUAGAUUAGAAGGUCCACCUAUACUCAACUCAAAAUGAGUUGGUCUAGCAGUAGUUAAUAAAGGACAAUUGACUAACAGGCAAGGGUGGCAUAUGUGUAUUAUUUGUAUUAGCUUGCAGAUGUAUCAACCUGACCAAACAUUUGGAUGUAGCUAAAUCUGUAGA